AGCACUGUGGGACAGAGGAAGUCCGCUGGGCUCAUAACCCAGAAGUCGAAGGAUCGAAACCUUCCAGUGCUA
rfam:Batrachochytrium dendrobatidis JEL423 supercont1.1 genomic scaffold, whole genome shotgun sequence.